rnacentral:rRNA from 1 species
UACGUAGGGGGCAAGCGUUGUCCGGAAUCAUUGGGCGUAAAGAGCGUGUAGGCGGUCCGGUAAGUCGGCUGUGAAAGUCCAGGGCUCAACCCUGGGAUGCCGGUCGAUACUGCCGGACUAGAGUUCGGAAGAGGCGAGUGGAAUUCCCGGUGUAGCGGUGAAAUGCGCAGAUAUCGGGAGGAACACCAGUGGCGAAGGCGACUACCUGGCCUGUUCUUGACGCUGAGGCGCGAAGGCCAGGGGAGCAAACGGG